AUUGAACGCUGGCGGCAGGCCUAACACAUGCAAGUCGAACGGUAACAGGAAACAGCUUGCUGUUUCGCUGACGAGUGGCGGACGGGUGAGUAAUGUCUGGGAAACUGCCUGAUGGAGGGGGAUAACUACUGGAAACGGUAGCUAAUACCGCAUAACGUCGCAAGACCAAAGAGGGGGACCUUCGGGCCUCUUGCCAUCGGAUGUGCCCAGAUGGGAUUAGCUAGUAGGUGGGGUAACGGCGCACCUAGGCGACGAGCCCUAGCUGGUCUGAGAGGAUGACCAGCGACACUGGAAAUGAGACACGGUCCAGACUCCUACGGGAGGCGGCAGUGGGGAAUAUUGCACAAUGGGCGCAAGCCUGAUGCAGCCAUGUCGCGUGUAUGAAGAAGGCCUUCGGGUUGUAAAGUACUUUCAGCGGGGAGGAAGGGAGUAAAGUUAAUACCUUUGCUCAUUGACGUUACCCGCAGAAGAAGCACCGGCUAACUCCGUGCCAGCCGCCGCCGUAA
rnacentral:rRNA from 1 species